CUGUUGUUUAAGACUGUGUGUGGUAUUUUGUUAUGGCAGCCCAAGUGAAUAAGACAGUACCAAAUAGCUCUGGGCUGGCAGGCAUUGCUUUGGGUCAGUCAUACACAGAGUAGGUAUAUUUAUCUGUAAGAGAAACUCUACUGAUGCAAUCCAUGGUACACAAGUACCAAAGGCUGCGAGCGGUCACCGUUGAUUUGUCAAUGCUGUGGGCCCUGCCAUUGGUCCCAGAGUUAGUGUCAGCCAGUGGUCCUUUGGGGUCUUCCCCUCACCUCACCUUAAAUUUUUUGAUUCACAUUCCCUCUGCUUUGUUUGACUGCAUGAAGGUGGGACAGAUGCUGUGUUCGCAGGAGGGCACCAGUGUGCUUUUCUGUUUUCUCCCCUACUUCCCAAUCAUUCCAUCUGAAAAGAAUGCAUGAAACCAGAUUCUAAAGAACCAGCAUGUCUUUUUAAACUUCCUGGCCACCUCUUAGUGGGUGGAGAUCCCACAACAAAGCAGGAACUAUCUAGAGUAUAGAUGUCCGGCCAACCUGCUCACGUGGCCCAAAGGUGAGACCUGAGCUCACGGUUGCUAGCCACUGAGCACCCAGGCCAUGCUGAGCACAGGGCACCGCAGGGCAGAGACUUCUGAAGUUACAGCCUUGCCACUUAACGCGAGAAAGAGCUUCCCGAAGCCAGAAGCUCAACUAUGUGCUGCUCAAGAAUGGCAUGCUGGUGGUGGCAGGCAGCCUACGGAGGAACAGAGAAACGAUGUGGAGUAGCAGACCUGGCCUCAGUGUUACCUCCUUCUCCAUAACUGUGGGACUGGCAAGGAGAAAAGAAAGUGGGGCAACAACCAGAAGAGCCCAAAUGACUGCUUUUGUCCGGGCACAAAUAUCGCUAGUUAUGCCAUGCCCCCACUGAGCCUCUAGAUCCUUGUCAAAUCCUUUUCCGCAGACUAAAAUUAAUCAUUCACAUAUAAACAAAUGUAAAUAUAUUUUUAGCAUGCCUCAGAAAACCCACCUUCCUGUUGGGUUUUGGGGCUCUCUCUCCAAGUCAACUGGCAUAUCACAAAAGCAACUGCAACUGCUUAGAACUUUCCACCGCAUACAGGCGACUGUGACCCCAGGUGACAUCUGACUGUGGAUGCCAAAAUGACUUGUGUUGUGAGAUUACAAUCUCUAACUGCCUUGUGGUUUCAGAAGGCAGGAGAGGCCAGAACUUAAGAGAGGGUGAGGGCUUAAAAAUUCAAGGUGAGGAGUUCCAGAAAAACCCACACAUUUUGAGGGUCAUUUGUGUGGCUUCCUGCGGAAGGUUUUAAAAGCCAGAGCACAGUACUGUUGAGACGUUAGCCAGUGGAAAUAAAGGAAAUCCUCCACCCAGCCAAGCAGCUAGCUGGAUGGCAGCCCCCAGUUGGGGAUGGUAUUUCACCCUGUGAGGGCAGGCGGCAAAGGAAGAGAAACCGACCAACUGUCACCAAUCUGAAAGAAUUUGAGGGCCAGAAGGAUAACAGCAUGAUUUAAAAAAAAAAAAAAGUAUUCUUUUAAAGGCAUACACAGGACAUAUGAUCCCUAAGUAAUAGCUCGUAAUUAAUAAAAUAACUCUGUGUUCCUGCCAAAGUACUCUUUUUCUAACUCAUUUGCAGACAUUAGAUACCUCUUACCUCUUCUUUGCACUUAUCAUCAUUCCACGAAAAUACGAGAUUGGGGCAAAUAAGGAUUUGCAUUGACAGGACAUCUUGUGCUUUUCAAAUAGUCCGUUCCACCGAGAGGUUCCUUGACUUUGGCCUUCAGUCCUGACUUAAUUUCUUUGCUUAUGGGUAAAACAAGGAAUUCCUGUCACACUGCCAACAUCACCCCCUUUCUUCUCACCCCAAGGAGAGUGCAGAGAGGAGGCGAGACCAAGCCUGCCCAGAGUUGGAGUCUUGAGACGUGAGAUUCUCCAGCUGGAGCCCUAUAAAUUGGACUGACAAAAGACAGAUUAGCAAGAGAAAUGCAAGCAGCAGUUUAUUAACAUGUGCAUCAUGAUUACACAUGGAAGUACCCAGAGGCAGAAUUAAAGAUUCAAGAUGUACCUACUUCUUCCGGGGACAACAUUCAUGAUUCUUAAAGAUUUCACAAGUGUACCUUCUAAGGGUAAGUGGCUGGAAGUAGUAAGAGGUCAAUGCCAAGUGAAAUCCUCUGGCGUUUUCUUCUGACAACCAGGAGUCUGCAAACCUUCACAAACAACAAUCGACUUCCUGUCUCCAUGCAUUUACCUGUUCUGGUUAUUUUAUAUAAAUGGAUUUAUAUAAUAUGUGUCUGGUUCCAUUCACUUAAUGUAAUAUUUUUGAGGUUUUUUCACCUUGUAUCACGUUUUGGUAAUUCAUUUCUUGUUAUAUCUGAACAAUAUUCUGUUGUAUGAAUAUACCACAGUUUGUUGUCUAUUUAUCUAUGGAUGAACAUUUGGGCUGUUUCACCUUUUGAUGUUUGUAAAUUGUAAGUAGUGCUGCCAUGAACACAUAUGUACAUGUAUUGGUUUGAGUGCCUGUUUUCAAUACUUUUGAGUAUAUAACUAGGAGUGAAAUUGGUAUUCACCCUUUUUUUUCUGUUACUUCUCUUAAUGAUCUCAUGUCUGCGUGAUCCUUAAUGAUGCCCCGUUUUAAAAUUCCUGACAUUGUUUGUCACUAGGUCAUUUGUCUCUAGUUUAACUGAUCAAUCUUGACAGCAAUUUUUCACUUUUAUUAGUAUUUUAAGGAAUCAGCCUGUGGUUUUGAGAAUCUUGUCUGCUUAUACAUUUGAAUUAGUUACAAUGAUUGCUUUCUCUUUGGAUUUGUUUCGCCACUCCUUUGGUAAUGUCCGGAGAGAGCUUCUUAACUGACACGAACGGGGCUCCAUUGGUAUGUCCUGGGAUCCCUCGUCAGGCCUGUGCACUCCCAGACCUCCAAGGGCCGGGACCUGCAUUUUUGUCCGAGGGCCGUCCCCAGGCUGCCUGAACUUACUUAGCCUAUGGGCAUAGUGGGCUGGAGGUGCCUGGGAACUAACAGCGCCAGAGGAAACCUUUAACUAAAGACCAAAGGCUGUCAGGGUGUAAAUACUCUUCUUGCCCUUCGGCUGAGAUAAUUCUGAAGCAUAUUUUACUUAGUUUUCUAGAGUUCUUCUUGGUAAUUAAUGCAAUCAAGCUCCAGUCUCCUGCUGUGAUGACUGCCUUCAUAACAUACCCUUUAUUAUUUAUCUGUCUUCCCUCCGUAUCUCACUUCCUACCUGUUCCUACUUGUCUAUUUCCCUGUGAGGGACUGAACUGUGAGCCCCUCAGAUUCAACGUACGAAGCCCCUAAAUUUAUUUGUUCGAGUCUGAAGCCAAAGUACCUAAGAAUGUGGCUUUAUUUGGAGAUACAGCUUUAAAGAGGUGAUGAAAUUAAAAUGAGAUCAUGAAGGUACACUCUAAUCCACUAUGACUGGUGUCCUUAUAAGAAGAGAUUAGGACACAACACACACAGAGGGAAUCCCAUGGGCAGACACAGGGAGAACACAGACAUCUGCAAGCCAAGGGCAGGAGCCUCAGAAGAAACCAAACCUGCUGACACCUUGAUCUCAGAUUUCAGCCUCCAGAAAUGUGAGAAAAUAAAUUUCUGUUGUUUAAGCCACCUAGCCUGUGAUACUUUGUUACGGCAGCCCAAGCUAAUUAAUUCACUCCCAAUUAAACUGUUCGCCCUUGAA
rnacentral:lncRNA from 1 species